rnacentral:tRNA from 1 species
CAAAUUAGAGCUUGUAUAGUAUUUUAUUUACAUUAAAAAGAAAAUUAUUUAAUUAAUUUAAUUU